rnacentral:rRNA from 1 species
GCAAGUCGAACGAAGUCUUCGGACUUAGUGGCGGACGGGUGAGUAACACGUGGGAACGUGCCUUUAGGUUCGGAAUAACUCAGGGAAACUUGUGCUAAUACCGAAUGUGCCCUUCGGGGGAAAGAUUUAUCGCCUUUAGAGCGGCCCGCGUCUGAUUAGCUAGUUGGUGAGGUAAAGGCUCACCAAGGCGACGAUCAGUAGCUGGUCUGAGAGGAUGAUCAGCCACAUUGGGACUGAGACACGGCCCAAACUCCUACGGGAGGCAGCAGUGGGGAAUCUUGCGCAAUGGGCGAAAGCCUGACGCAGCCAUGCCGCGUGAAUGAUGAAGGUCUUAGGAUUGUAAAAUUCUUUCACCGGGGACGAUAAUGACGGUACCCGGAGAAGAAGCCCCGGCUAACUUCGUGCCAGCAGCCGCGGUAAUACGAAGGGGGCUAGCGUUGCUCGGAAUUACUGGGCGUAAAGGGAGCGUAGGCGGACAUUUAAGUCAGGGGUGAAAUCCCGGGGCUCAACCUCGGAAUUGCCUUUGAUACUGGGUGUCUUGAGUGUGAGAGAGGUAUGUGGAACUCCGAGUGUAGAGGUGAAAUUCGUAGAUAUUCGGAAGAACACCAGUGGCGAAG